GCUGUUGCAUUCUCUGUCAGCAUUCUAUGGCAGGAUAGGAAGCAAUUGCGUAUAGAGUGAGGAGGAGAUGAACCCUAACCAUAAUCCGCAAUCAAGCGAUGGAGGAGGCAUGAUGCGAUGCUGCACUCACUGAGUUUCUCGCUUCGUUAAUGGAUUAUACUCCUAUGAUACCUGAUGAAUUGGUGAAGCAUUACUUAGCCAAGAGCGGGUUUUCAGUCUCCCGAUCUUCGAUUGUCAGUGCCUUUUUUCUUGUUACAGAUUUGUUCCUUUUUUAUUGAUGUGUGAGUUUAACUUUGAUGUUUUGACAUUGUCAACUAAUCAGAGGUAGGAAUUGCCAUAUUAGAGUUGAUUAUAGAGAAUAAUGGUUCAAUUUAAUCUUUGGUUAUAGGCUCAAAUUAGGAUAGUGAAUCAGAGGUAGGAUUGUCCUAUAGCUAGAGGCAGAGGUAGACCCAAGAGGAAGAUGAAACUGACAA